GACGAACGCUGGCGGCGUGCCUAAUACAUGCAAGUCGAGCGCUGAAGGUAGGUACUUGUCCCACCUGGAUGAGCAGCGAACGGGUGAGUAACGCGUGGGGAAUCUGCCUUUGAGAGGGGGACAACUUCUGGAAACGAGUGCUAAUACCGCAUAAAAACUUUAAACACAUGUUUCAAGUUUGAAAGAUGCAAUUGCAUCAACCAAAGAUGAUCCCGCGUUGUCAUAGCUAGGUUGUGAGGUAAAGGCCCAACCAGGCGAACGUACAUUGCCGACCUGGGGAGGGUGUCGGCCACAUUGGGACUGGGACACGGCCCAAACUCCUACCGGGGGCAGCCGGAGGGAAUCUUUGGCAAUUGACGAAAGGCUGACCGGGCAACGCCGCGGGAGUGAAUAAGGGUUUCGGAUCGGAAAACUCUGUUGGUAGGGAAGAACGUAGGGGGUAGGUGAAAGCGCAUCAAUUGACGGUAACUACCCAGAAAGGGACGGCUAACUACGUG
rnacentral:rRNA from 1 species